GGCCCUAUCGUCUAGCCCGGUUCAGGACGCUGGGUUCUCAUCCCAGUAACACGGGUUCGAAUCCCGUUGGGGCCG
rnacentral:tRNA from 1 species